rnacentral:rRNA from 1 species
AUUGAACGCUGGCGGCAGGCCUAACACAUGCAAGUCGAGCGGAUGAAGGGAGCUUGCUCCUGGAUUCAGCGGCGGACGGGUGAGUAAUGCCUAGGAAUCUGCCUGGUCGUGGGGGAUAACGUCCGGAAACGGGCGCUAAUACCGCAUACGUCCUGAGGGUGAACGUGGGGGAUCUUCGGACCUCACGCUAUCAGAUGAGCCUAGGUCGGAUUAGCUAGUUGGUGAGGUAAAGGCCUACCAAGGCGACGAUCCGUAACUGGUCUGAGAGGAUGAUCAGUCACACUGGAACUGAGACACGGUCCAGACUCCUACGGGAGGCAGCAGUGGGGAAUAUUGGACAAUGGGCGAAAGCCUGAUCCAGCCAUGCCGCGUGUGUGAAGAAGGUCUUCGGAUUGUAAAGCACUUUAAGUUGGGAGGAAGGGCAGUAAGUUAAUACCUUGCUGUUUUGACGUUACCAACAGAAUAAGCACCGGCUAACUUCGUG